rnacentral:rRNA from 1 species
GACGAACGCUGGCGGCGUGCUUAACACAUGCCAGUCGAACGGAAAGGCCCUGCUUUUGUGGGGGGCUCGAGUGGCGAACGGGUGAGUAACACGUGAGUGACCUGCCCUGGACUUUGGGAUAACGUCAGAAAACUGGGGCUAAUACCGGAUAGGAGCUCCUGCUGCAUGGUGGGGGUUGGAAAUUUUCGGCUGUUGGGGGUGGACGCGCGGCUUAUCAGCUUGUGGGUGGGGUAGUUGCUUACCCAGGCUUUGGAGGGUAGCCGGCCUGAGAGGGUGGACGGCCACAUGGGGACUGAGAGACGGCCCAGACUCCUACGGGGGGCAGCAGUGGGGAAUAUGGCACAAUGGGGGGAAGCCUGAGGCAGCAACGCCGCGUGCGGGAUGAAGGCCUUGCGGUUGUAAAACGCAUUCGCCUGUGACGACGCGUGAGUGACGGUAAUGGGUAAAGAAGCACCGGCUAACUACGUG